AGUGAACGCUGGCGGUAGGCCUAACACAUGCAAGUCGAACGGCAGCACAGUAAGAGCUUGCUCUUACGGGUGGCGAGUGGCGGACGGGUGAGGAAUACAUCGGAAUCUACUUUUUCGUGGGGGAUAACGUAGGGAAACUUACGCUAAUACCGCAUACGACCUACGGGUGAAAGCAGGGGAUCUUCGGACCUUGCGCGAUUGAAUGAGCCGAUGUCGGAUUAGCUAGUUGGCGGGGUAAAGGCCCACCAAGGCGACGAUCCGUAGCUGGUCUGAGAGGAUGGUCAGCCACACUGGAACUGAGACAGGGUCCAGACUCCUACGGGAGGCAGCAGUGGGGAAUAUUGGACAAUGGGCGCAAGCCUGAUCCAGCCAUACCGCGUGGGUGAAGAAGGCCUUCGGGUUGUAAAGCCCUUUUGUUGGGAAAGAAAAGCAGCAGGUUAAUACCCCGCUGUUCUGACGGUACCCAAAGAAUAAGCACCGGCUAACUUCGUG
rnacentral:rRNA from 1 species